CGUGUAGGCGGUUUGGCAAGUCAGAGGUAAAAUGCCCCGGCUCAACCGGGGACCUGCCUUUGAAACUGCCGAACUUGAGGCCGUGAGGGGAGACUGGAAUUCCUAGUGUAGCGGUGAAAUGCAUAGAUAUUAGGAAGAACACCAGUGGCGAAGGCGAGUCUCUGGCACGGUUCUGACGCUGAGGCGCGAAAGCUAGGGGAGCGAACG
rnacentral:rRNA from 1 species